rnacentral:lncRNA from 1 species
CUUGUUUACCUAUGAUAGACAUUUAAAAAACACACUUUUAUGUACCCUAUAUGCGUGCAAAGUUGUGUACACAGAUGCUAUAGACAUAUUAGAAAAUAUGGAGAACGAGAAUGUAUUGUUUUGGUCAAAAGCAGCUGGAACGUUCCUGGUAUCGUCAGCAGUGCUUUAUUUCGCCUGGAGAAAAAUAAUAGGCAAAUCUCCUAAGUAAGUUACAUUCUUAUUCACAUAAUUUCAUCAGCUCUAAAAGGUAAUCUUUUUUGGCGCGUUAUUUACUGAACAUCAACAUGAUCAAGAAAGAUAUUAUUCAUAGCAAGUUUAUAUAUACAUGAUAUACACGGGGAUGUUUCUGAAGUGAAAACAAAUAUUUUAAGUGGGUCGAACGUUUACGUACUACAUGAAUAUUAAUCAUGUGCGGUUUAUAUAAAACAUAAAACAUAACAUAUAACAUGUAUAAUAGUAAUUUGUUUAGCAAUUUUACUGUAUUCAAACGAUCACGUAAACAAACUUCAGUACUUUCGAAAUGUAUUUUUAUCAGUAUCAAUGUUCAUGUAAACAAGAAAGACACAAUGCAAUUUGUUAAAAUAUAUUAUGUUUUACCGAACUUUGAUUUUUACGGUACAAUCUCUUAAAUAUGAACAUAUGAAGGGACUCCAGAUACUUUAUAAUGUGAUGAAGUCAUAUAUUUUUAUUUCGAAACCAAAUUUUUUUUUAAUUUGAAAAUAAACAUAUGUUGACAGUUUUAGUUAACCUGGGUUGCGUUCAAUAUCGUAGAUUUGUUUUACUACUGUCAGAACGUGUAGCUAGCCCACUACUAGAUCUAGAUAGCAGCUAGGCUAUCUACACGGUCACUAGUCAAAUAUCUACUUAGCCCUUUGUAGCUGCUACGAUAUAAAGGCAACUCUGUAUCUUACUUUAAAAAAAGAUGCAAAAAUGCAACACACAUGAAAAACAUGCAUACUAUUUUUAGGAAGAAUUACCCACCCGAUACAGUAAUACUUCAUCAGAUUGGACGAGGUCAAUAUGCACCCAGUUUGACACCGUAUGCUAUUAAAUUAGAAACUUAUCUGCGCAUGGCAAACAUUCCUUAUGAAGUAGGUAAAAUUUAUAUAAAUCAUGUUAAAUCUGUAUAAUAAUCAGGAGCUCUACCUACUUUUAAACUUUUAAAUACAUGUAUAAAAAUUAAAUUUUGCUUUUUUUAUUAUUUGACAUUUAAUACUGUACGUGUUUGUUCGUUGUAUUAUCGGUCUUAAUGUGGCUCGGAUGUCUUCCUCAGAUAACUAUUGGUCUAGAUUUUUAAUAAAAUGUACAAAUUUUGUGAGUAGUAUGUGAUUAAUGUGCAAGUCUUUCGUAUUAAUAUAGAAAAUUUUAUAUUUUACUGAUGUAUUUACAGAAGAAGAAAAAAAAACCAAUAUUUUUGUUUCAUUCAUUUUUUUUACAAUUUCGCAGCAUAAGGGGAGAUAAAUCAGAGUAGGGAAAAUAACUCGAAUGAAGUAAUUUUUAUAAUAGAAAGUGUUGUGAGUUUACCUUUUUAAAUAUUUAGCAAGAAAAAAAUUCCGGUAACGCGAUUUUUCUUUUAUUUAUCGUGUUUAUCUGAAGGAUGUUAUAAGAUAUAUCAUCUCAUGUUUCAUCUUUAUAUUCUAUGGUGUAGAGUUCUUUUCAUCACACAAAAUUGGAUUUUCCAUACAUAUUUUAUACAAAAUCGAACAAUUUGGCACAACCUGUAGCAUGAAAAAAAAUUCGAUGAUCCAUACUUUUAUUAUAUAUUUAGGAAAAAGCAAGAUAAAAACUACAUUUUGGGAAAUCAUUAAAAAAAUCUAUGGUAUACAAAAUUGUAAGUCUGCUGACAGUUUACACACCGGGGUAUAAUCAGUCCAGAAAUCAGCACUUCUGUGUUGACAUCGGUAAUCAAUGAUAUGGGAAUAUUAAUAGAUUAACGAAUAAAAUUAAGAAUGGAAACGGGGAAUAUGUCAAAAAGACAACAAUCCGACCAAAGAGCAGAUAACAGUCGAAGGCCAACAUCUUUAAUGCAGCGCGAAUAUCCCGUACCCGGAGGUACACAACAUAUAAAUGAACUAUGUUUUUUUAAAAUAACAAGACUAACGAAAGCUAGAGGCUCCUGACUUGGGACAGGGUUGAAUCGUUCAACAUAUUAAGAAUUUUUUACCCAGAAUAUAUAUUAACUUUUCAAAAUUUUGGGUCCUCAAUGCUCUUCGAUUUCGUUCUUUAUUUGGCCUUUUAUCUGAGUAAUUGGUCUUUUGUAAACGAAAUGCGCGCCUGGUGUACAAAAUUAUAAGCCUGGUAUCUUUUACAAGUUUUGUAAUAUCUCCUGUUCACUGGGUAUUUAUUUUUAGAAUGUACAUAGUUUCUAUACUCCCAGCAAGAAAGGAAAAGUCCCAUGGAUUGAAUAUAAUGGAGAGGAGAUUGCAGAUUCUGAAUUUUGUAUAGAAUAUUUAAAUCAUAAACUAGGAAUCGAUCUAGAUAAAGACUUCACAGCAAAGGAAAAAGGAAUAGCAAGAGCUUUCCAGAAAAUGGUAGAAGAAAACACAUACUGGUAUGUCAAUUCUUUUAAACUCGGGCUCUUAACAGCUUCUAGUUAUUUGUUUCAAGUACUUUCCGAACAGAAUGACUUCAUAUUUAGUUACAUUUAGCAUAACAGUGACAACUUGUAACCUGUAAGGGAUUUGCGAAUGCGUCUGACAACUACUUUAUGUUCCCUAUACCUAACAAAUUAAAACGAACAAGUUAAAGAAUUGAAAGCGUCUUAGGCGCUUUUUUUUGGAAUUCACCAGGAAUACAUUAAGCCAAAUACUUGAAAGACGUGGAUGUAUAAGUACCGAAACAUUUGAAGAGUUAUGUGACAAAAAACGCCUAAAAAUAACCAAAUCCAUCUAACUUCAAGAUCAACUUUGUCUAAGGGAGUUGAAAUCUUAGUUUCUUUUUAAUUUCAAAGUUUAUAAACGGAAAGGUUUAUAAUAAAUCAUGUCAGUACCGAAGUACCGACUACUGAGCUGAUCUUCUACUCAUGGACUGAUCAUCCACAAGCUGAGGUCAAUUGCAGUAAAUCUAAAGAACGUCACAUCACAUUAACGGGUUUUUUAUGUCCCAUUUAUGGGCAUUAUGUUUUAUGGUCUGUGCGUCCGUCUAUUGUCCGUUCGUUAUUCCGUUUGUUCGUCUGUUCGUCAUUUCGUCCUUCUGUCCCGCUUCAGGUUAAAGUUUUUGGUCGAGGUAGUUUUUGAUGAAGUUGUAGUCCAAUCAACUUGAAACUUAGUACACAUGUUCCCUAUGAUAUGAUCUUUCUAAUUUUGAUGCCAAAUUAGAGAUUUUCUCCCAUUUUCACGGUCCACUAAACAUAGAAAAUGAUAGUGCGGAUGGGCAUCGGUACUGGGGACACAUUCUUGUUUCAAUAUUUGUCAAUAUACAGAAAAAAUAGUUGCUUUCUCAUGGACAGCAAACUUGCUAAUAAAAAUUAUCCUCACACCCAAUCAAUAUGUUUGUUUUUAUUCUUUUAAUUUAAAAAAGGAGAUGUGGUAUGAUUGCCAAUGAGACAACUCUCCACAAGAGACCAAAUGACACUUAAAUAUACACACUAUAGGUCACCGUACGGCCUUCAACAAUUAGCAAAGCCCAUACCGCAUAGUCAGCUAUAAAAGGUCCCGGAAUGGCAAAGGUCAAACAAUUCAAACGAAUGAACUAACGGCCUAAAUGUACAAAAAAUGACGAAAAACAAAUAUAGUACAUCAACAAACGACAACCAUUGAAUAUGUCGAAUUAUAUAAAUAAAUUAUAUGUAAAAGUUUUACUGUAGUAGGUUUUAAUUUUGGCUUUAAUAUUGGUUCACUUAUAGGGUCUUUGCAUAGGAAAUUUACACAUUUAUUCUAAAACGAGUUGUUGGCAUGAUACGGGUUAAGUUCUUCUCAUAUAUUUUAUGAUGAUAUAAUACUAAACCCCUAACGAGAGGGAUUGUACUUGAUAUUCAUAUGAUGAAGACAUAAUCUUUCAAUGAGUUUAAUUAAGGUCUGGAGCUGGCAUGUCAGUAACUGCUGGUAGUCCUUUGUGAAUGAAUGUAUCAUUGUCAUUUUUUCAGUUUCAUUUUUUGCAACCUUAUUUAGACAUCGGACUCGGACCUUUUUUUGAAGUGAGUUUUACUGUGCGUAUUGUUGUGGGUUUGUUUUUUCUACAUUGGCUAGAUGUAUAGGGGGAGGGUUGAGAUCUAAAAAAAAAUAUGUUUAACCCCGCUGCAUUGUUGAGCCUGUCCCAAGUCAGGAGCCUCUAGCCUUGUUAGUCUUGUACGUUUUUAAAUUUAAUUUCCUUGUGUAUAUUUUGGAGUAUGACGUUCAUUCUCAUUGAACUAGUAUAACCAUGACACUACAUGUAUCUCUUUGGACUGUUUAUGGUUCUGAGUGUAAACUUUGACUAUUAAUUAUUGCAUUUAUAACAGGGCACUUGCAAUGGAUAGAUGGGUAUUUGAUAAGGACUGGACAGCUUGUAAAGCUAUGAGAACUCCAACAUUGAUUGCUUAUUUUAUCAGACGGUCAGUUAGGAAAGAUACGUAUGCCGUUGGUAUUGGACGACAUAGUUCAGACGAGGUGUACCACAUUAUGGAUCUUGAUUUAAAAGCUUUAUCAGACUUCAUAGGUAAAGUGUUGGUCAUUGUAUUGAAUUGCUCACCUGGGAAAAUUAUAUAACGUUAUUAAGCAAAAUAUUGUAACUCUCACAUUCUGUCCUAAGAAAUAACAACAAUUAUUUAAUUGGUUCAAAAGUAAAAUAACAAAAAUGAAAAUUCAAAACGGAAAUACUCUUAUCAAAUGACAAAAUCAAAAGCUAGCUCAAACACAUCAAACGAAUGGAAAACAGCUUGGUACAGGGAAUCUCUUAUGUAGAAAAUGGUGGAUAAAACCUGGUUUUAUAGCUAGCUAAACAUCUCAAUUGUAUAACAGUCAAAUAAAAUUCUUUCAUAUUGUCAACAGUGUGUGAACAAAACAAACAGACAUAAUAGAUGAAAAUAUCAAAAAUGGGUAUAUACAUAGACAAUAGGCACAAAAAAAUAGAUUAAGAACAUAUAAGCAAAACUGAAAAAAAACUGAAAAAAAUUACAUCACAACAAAAAAAUUGGCUGGAUGCAUAAAAACCUAGCCACGUCAAAAGCAUAUUAACAAAAAGUGUUUUGAACCAGGGUGAAAAACAUGGCAAGAGUGUUGAAUUUGAAUCUCUAAAACUAAAACGAGAAACUAUUAUAAAUCUUAUUAACAAACGACAACCAUGCACUGAACAACAGGUUCCUGACUUAGGACAGGUGCAAACAAAUGAUGCUGGUUCAAACGUUUUAAUCGGCGCCAACCUUCACCCUAACCACGCAUUUUUAUGGUACUACAAUCUGUCCCAUACCUUUAUUUUGGCAUUGCAUAGGGCCUGUUUUUCUUUGACUGUUAAUGACGUUUUCACACUUAAUUCAUCGGAUAUUAGAUGUGUACUGAUUGAUAUUUUAGUCUUAGAUACAUGACUUAUUCAAUUGCAUGCAGUUGAUAUUGGAUUUGAACUAGCUUAUUUAUUAACUGCAAGUUCUCUCAGAUCUGUACUUGGUGUCCUUUUUUGUUGUUAGGAACGAUUAAUUAAUAAAUGCAUUGCCACUUAAGGUAGGCUGUGUAUUUGUUCGAGGGUUUUCUGCUUUAUAUCGAAAUGAUGAGUUUAGCCUUCUUCAACUGAUUUUUAUACGACCGCAAAAAAAGGGUCGUGUAUUGGUAUCAUGUUGUCGUCGUCGUCCGAAAACAAAUGGUUUCUGGACAAUAACUUUAGUAUAAAUAAAUAGAAAUCUAUGAAAUUUUAGCACAAGGUUUAUAACCACAAAAGGAAGGUUGUGAUUUUGGGAGUUAUGGUUCCAAUAGUUUAGUAAUUGGGGGCAAAAGAGGGCCCAAGUAAGCAUUUUUGUAGUUUCUAGACAAUAACUUGUGUUUAAGUGUAAGAAUUUCUCUGAAAUUAUACCACAAGUUUCCACACGACAAUGGGAUGGUUAGGAUUGACUUUGAGGGGUUAUGGCUCAAACCAUUUAGGAAUUAGGGACAAAAUAGGUGGACAACAAGUUUUUUUUUCUGGUUAAAGGACAACUAAGACAAUUUAAAUACAGUCUAAGUAAAUAAGAAUUUGUGGGGGGACUUUCAGAAUUCAGAAAUUAAAAAGAAAAUGUCUUCAAACAAUUUUUAUUUGGGGGGUUAAUAUUCAACAGGAUAUUCCACAGAAGGAAAAAAACGGGGUAUUUUUUUUAAGGGGGAGGGGUCAACUUGCAACAGCAUAGUGUAUUGUACAAAUUCAAAAAAAAAAAGAAUAUAAAUUCAAAUCAUAUAACCAAUUGUCUAUUUGGCUAUAACUCUUCAGGGUUGGACAUCUGCGGUCGUAUCCAGCUGCGUUCAGCGAAGCAAUUUAUUAUAGUUUGUUCUUAUGUUGUGCUGUUAAACAACUUCCCCAGUCUAGAGGAAUAUAAAGCGCACACAAUAGUGUUUAACCCGCCAUAAUAUUUACCACGUUUGUGUACCUUUUCCCAAUCAGGAGACUGGAGCUCAGUGAUCUUCGGUGGUCGUCGUUGGUUCAUGUCUCAUAUUUUUUUUAUUUUUUUUUUUCGCAAAUUAUGCCGUUAGUUUUCUCUAUUGAAUUCUUUCAUAUUUUUCAUGUCGGGGCCUUUUAUAGCCGACUAUACGGAAUUUUUAUUUCUCAUGUUGAAGGUCAUAUGGUUACCUAUAAUUGCUAAAUCCACUUUAUUUUAUUUUGGUGAAUAUAUGUCUUAUUCAUCUGAAUUACCUGGAUUUUUUUUGGCAAAUGAAACGUUCUGUUAUAUGGCACAAAUGAAUUUCAAAUAUGACUUGCGACACCCUAAAAUAAUUUGAAUGUAGAAAGUAUUACUUUUUUUUUUAUUAAGCUCUACAAUAUUAUGUUUUGCCAAAUAUGAUAGUAAUAUUGUUGUCAUUAACAUGUAUCAAUAACAUAUUAAACCAAAGCAACUAAUGAAUGUUUGAGCAAAGUUUUUGUAAUGAUAUAAUUUAUGCGGAACAAAUUAUCAGCUAAAACUUAUUUUCAUCUAAAAAAAAAUCACAGGCCUUAGAUAAGAUCAACUUGAUUAUCGUACAGUUUUAAACAUGUUCUUUACUGUUGUAUACAAUGAUAUCAAGUACUCUUACAUGAACUCAAUUUCAAUGACAAACCAUUAAAAGCAGCUUCUAACUUUUUUAAAUUACGUUAUUUGAACUUUUGUUUUAGGUAAUAAAAAUUUUUGCUAGGAGACAAGCCAUGCCAAGCAGACUGUAGUGUAUUUGGUAUGAUUGGUAAUGCAUACUGGCAAUCGUUCGGGAGUCCAGCAGAAUCAGCAAUCAAAAGUAAGUAUCAUAUCAAAAUGUCAUGAUUAUUAUCAUUUGUGUGUCUUCCGAACGAGGACAUUCAUUCCAAGAAAACACAGAAAAUAAAAGAUGCAAUUUAUAAAAUGAUUGACAGUUUCCUUUUAUUAUUUGAAUCAUUAUCAUUUAUACGAACGUUUUACUAAUGGCGUGUCCCUUUUUAAUCUAUAUGCAUUCUAUAUGAGUACGACGACUUAAAAACUUACAGAACACAAACAUUUUAUCAAAUAUCUACUUUUGUUCUCACUUUUGAACUAUCUAUUAAUUGUGAAUUCAAAGUUUUUCUUUAAAAUGGAUUCUGUACGGAUAGAUAAAGAAUGCAUCUUAUAGCAUAGACUAAUACUAAUAUCAUACAUGGUUAGCUGUCUUUAUUUCAAACAGCCCGUUAUAAAAAAAGUUCUAUAAAAUAUAUAAUCCAAUAGACUUUCUGUAGAUUUUUUUUUAUUAUGGAAAUGUAUUAAUUUGAACACACACUAAAAACAGUGUAAAGUUAUAAGGUUUCUUUCUUUUUUUUUGUUACAUACAUUAAUGGCAAAUAGAAAGAACUUAAAAAACUAUGUACAAUAUUUGCUCAUAAUUAUUUUUUUAAUACUUUUUAGAUGUGCAUUAAUUGAUGACGUAUAAAAGUAUGUCAAGUGCAAUGAAAAUUAAUCGAACGAAAGCAAAAAAAUAUGUACAAAAUGUUUUGAAAUAUGAAUUUAUCAAAAUUGAUUAAUGAAAUAUAAAAGUAUGUCUCAAAUAAAAUACAUCAAAAUCAAUGCAAGUGCCAUGAAAAUUAAUUUUUAUUUUCAGAAUAUAGAAACUUGUGUGACUAUUGUCAAAGGAUGAAGGAGACAUUCUGGCCUGACUGGGACGAAUGUAUUUCUCAUGGAUUUACAAAAGAGCCAACUAAAUAAUUAUUUUUGUGAAUAGCUUCUCUGUAUGUACAUGUAUUAGCUUCUCUGUAUAUACAUGUAUUAGCUUCUCUGUAUAUACAUGUAUGAGAUCAUAACAAUUCGGUAUGUAAAUAUGAAAUAAUUUUUUUGCUUUUCUAUUACUAUGAUUGUCAAUUGGUGAAAACGAACUUGGAAGUGAAUGGAUUUGAUUGGUUGUAAAUUAGAAGGUAUAAUGAUCCAUUAUCUAGUCCUCAAAAUUUAAAACAUAAAAUUAUUUCAUCCUUUGACGAUGAGAUCAUUUGUAUUGAAAUGAAUGUAGUGAUAUAGUUUUGACGCUUCGAGUAAGAAAAAUAAUGUUUGUUGUAAUUUUGCUAUGACAGUAUAAUUUUUAAAAAUUUCGUUUUCCGUGUUUACUUAGAUUUUGACAAAAUUCAAAAAAUGCUUCAUCCUUACCUUCAUACAUUGUAUGUUCGUUGAUAUCGACGGAUUAAAUUUCACUCAGGUAUUUUUAAUUAUUCAAAAUACUGAAAAGUCAUCGAUCCCAAUCUCAACCAUUCUCAUUCAGCUGUUUUGUACUCGAUCAUAAACUAAAUCAUACUCAAAGACAUGAACUAGUACCCAUUCUUUAAUCAUUCCCAACAUAUACAAUAUUUCACUAUUUUUUUUACUCAAAAGAAUUCAAUAAUAAAACAAAAUAACAGAUGUGUUUCAUUGCCAAUGACACAACUCACCAACAGGAACCAAAUGACGAUAUUCAUUAAUCGAUCUCAAUAUUUUAGCACUAAAAUGCGAGAAAUGUCUAAAAUAUUGAAUAAAUUUAGGAGUCGCCAAUCCAACUUCAUGUAUACAUGUAACUGUCUGCUAACACUGAGUCGCCAUAUUGUGCAUAGUUUACUCUGUUACCUUCUCUUAGAACUAUUCGGAACAAAGUUGAUGUGGACAGAAAUAUCGAAACACUUUCUUUAGACAUCCAUUGGAAAUCUUACCGGCUCACUCCGUUUAGAAAAAAAACCCAACCUCGACGACAACAUGGUACUAAAAGGAGGGGUGACGAAAAUGACUCCUGAAUUAAGGAUGUGUUUAUCUUUAUAAGCCACAAGGAUAAAAAACAACAGUCAACCUUAGCCAAAAUAACUAAAAUAAAUUAAAAUGCUUUUUGAAUGCACUCUUAAAAAAAACAGUGCCCCACAAUGUUCUUCGAUGUUAUGAAAUUAAAUUUCUUUAACAAUCAAACAUGCGGACUCAAACACUGUAAUAUACAAGAAACCCUCUUUCUUAUACUUAUCUGAACGUGCCUUAGAAGAGCAAUCCUUACUGUUCAUGCACUACCAUCAAUUCAGACAUUUUAUAUGAUUUCAUAACUAGUUCAACUCAACUUUGCUGGCUUGUUUCAAUUUGAGAGACGGGAUGAGUACAAUUUAGUUGAAGGUAGAAGUCAGAAUACACAGUUUGAUUUUUGUAUUUAUCAACAACAACACUAAAGAAUCAUUUGUCCCCCGCCAUCCCCUCAAACAAAAAGGGCACUGUCAAAAAAUACAUCAGCAUGACCAAUCACCUGCUCAUGAUUUGCACUUUUUGCAAAAGAAUGCAAUAGAUUAAUGUAAUUGCAUGUUACCGAUGACAAUGUCCAAGUAUUUCGGAAUAACCAUCUUCAUUCUAAUGUGUUGAAAGCCAGAUCAUACAUCAUCGACAAACAAAGCAUCUUGAGCAUAAAUAGAAUAGUUUAAACUGAUUGCAAUUAAUUCGGACAUGUGUUUCUUGAAUACCAUUUGUACGCUUGAACAGAUUAUUCAACAAGAAAACACACAAAACGUGUAAAAGCACCAUAGAGCAGAUGAAUAUUUACGACCAAUUUGAUACAAAGAAGAAAUGACUUAUGAUUAUCCAUAGUUUAAUUUGAAGUAUUCGAAGGUCGUAAUUAUGACAUACCAAGUUGUAAAAAUUCGUAAUAGCAGGAAAAGCAAAACACCUUUUGUAUAUUACCAAUACUUUCAUAUAAAUUAUAUUGCAUUUUGAAUAUAUGAAGUAAAUCUG